rnacentral:tRNA from 1 species
UGAGGUAUAGCUUAGUUGGUUGAGCUCUUUGACCUCCAUUCAUAUGAGCAGAGGUUCGAAACCUCAGACAUCUA